CUCCAGCCUACCAGGGUCAGGAGCCCUCCUCUCCACUCUGGAAGGCUCCGAGUGCCCCCACAUCAGAGCAGAGCAGUCACUGCGUGGACUUGGCCUUGCAACCGUGGCUGCAGAACGGAGCUCUGUGAGGCAGAGGCAGUAGCCUAGACACAUUUAAAACAACCAGCAAGAUGGCAAAUCUCUGACAGCUGAGCAGGUUUCGCCUUGACUGGGGAAUUAAGCUCCCUGGGGCCAGGCGGUCUCCGUAUAGAGAACACCUGUGAAAGGUGGACACUGGAUGGUGGGAAGGAAGUCAGGGAGAAGAGAGAGCAAAAUGGCUCCUUUGGAUAAAAUCAGGAAUUUGGCAGCCCAGUAAGGAGCUGGUGGGAAGGCCUGAGAUGGAGGGGAGGAGAGAAAGCUGGGGAACACCUUGGGAGGCAGACUCGAGGCCACGAGGCAGCCAGUGUCUCCCAGAGGCUGGAAGAAGACAGAGCAUUAAGAAUGCCCACCUUUCCACGAUUCCACAAGCCUGAAAGUGGCGUGCACCUUACAAUCAGCAAUACUGCACAGCUCGCAGCAUUGUUUCUUGUCAGCACCUGAAAUGACAACGCUUCUUACCAUCAUCAUCAGAUCUUGGGUUCUGUGGAAUCCUGUCAAGAAGGAGAACAAGAGCCACGUGGUCUGUUUCAGGGAAGGGAACUUGGACAGAUCCGCAUCCUCACAGAGCACAGAGACACGCUGACUGUAAUACUGGGGGGCAUCGACUCCAUCAGCCCGCUGUCCCACCACUUCUAUUUUAUUAAGUCUGACCCCAGCCUGCACAGCUGGGAAAGAUGUGUCUCAGAAACGGAAAUGAGUUUCUCAGAUGUGCGAUGUUUGCAGAGGAAGUGAAACAUGGUGUUUAUUCCGUGAGCCCUGCAUCCUGCAAUUAGGAGGUGCCCGUGACCCUCGGAGGGCCACACCAGACUCAAGGCCCCUCCAGGGCUGGGACAUGAUGUCUUUGUGUGUGAGGGGUGGGGACAGUUAGCAAUCACCUUGGAAAUGCUCUGCCCUCCCUGUAAGGAAGUGCUGUCUUACCUUAAGGUCAGCAAAUCCAGGCUCCUUCCCCAGGUGCCUUGCGGCUCCCUC